UGGGGAAUAUUGCACAAUGGGCGCAAGCCUGAUGCAGCAACGCCGCGUGAGGGACGACGGCCUUCGGGUUGUAAACCUCUUUUAGUAGGGAAGAAGCGAAAGUGACGGUACCUGCAGAAAAAGCACCGGCUAACUACGUGCCAGCAGCCGCGGUAAUACGUAGGGUGCGAGCGUUGUCCGGAAUUAUUGGGCGUAAAGAGCUCGUAGGCGGUCUGUCGCGUCUGCUGUGAAAACCCGAGGCUCAACCUCGGGCCUGCAGUGGGUACGGGCAGACUAGAGUGCGGUAGGGGAGAAUGGAAUUCCUGGUGUAGCGGUGGAAUGCGCAGAUAUCAGGAGGAACACCGAUGGCGAAGGCAGUUCUCUGGGCCGUAACUGACGCUGAGGAGCGAAAGCGUGGGGAGCGAACAGGAUUAGAUACCCUGGUAGUCCACGCCGUAAACGUUGGGCGCUAGAUGUGGGGGACCAUUCCAC
rnacentral:rRNA from 1 species